GUUAUCAAGAGAAAAACAGUCUUAGAUGCAACAUAAAAAUUUCAGAGACAGAAGAAAUCUUCCUUUGAGGGCAGGAUUGAAAUGCUGUUUUUCUUCCCUGGUACAAUGUUAAAGCUUUAAACUCUUGUCAAUGAUGUGAUGUUUCAUCUGCAAUGAUCUACACUAGAAAAAUAAAAAUGUAGUUACUGACAAAAAAGCAGGAACUACUGCUCUAAGGAAAAAAGGACAGCUACAUGAGGACCACACAACUCCUGGAAGAGGUUUCCCUGGCAACACAACUUUUCCAUUCAUCUGGUUGCAGUGUUUUCAUCCAGUAGCCUGUCACCUCACUCAAAAGCAGGGCAAUGGAGAGAAAGAAACUUACCAAGUUUUUUCUUUUAACUAGAGAGUAGCCUACUUAUUGGGCCCUGCAAUUAAUUUCAGUACUCCAGGCAGAUUUAUAAAGGAAGCUGCUGGAAGGAAUUCAUUCCCUUUUUGCUGUUCUGCCUUCCACCUUCCACUGUGUGAGGACACUGCAAGAAAGCCCUCAUCAGACACCAACUGCCAGCACCUAGAUCUUGGAAUUCUCAGCCUCCAGAACUGUGAGAAACACGUUUCUGUUUUUCUAUAAAAUAAUAAUAAUAAAAAACUUCCAUGCAGGAAAAAAAAUCAAGUUCAAAGGUCCUGUGGUGAGGGCAUACCAGCUUUGUUUGAGAAGCAGUAAUCAUGCCUGUGUGACUGUAAUGAAAGAAUAAAAGAGAAAUGAGCACAGAA
rnacentral:lncRNA from 10 species